GACGAACGCUGGCGGCGUGCUUAACACAUGCAAGUCGAACGGAAAGGCCCUGCUUUUGUGGGGUGCCCGAGUGGCGAACGGGUGAGUAACACGUGAGUAACCUGCUCUUGACUUUGGGAUAACUUCAGGAAACUGGGGCUACUAUCGGAUAGGAGCUCCUGCUGCAUGGUGGGGGUUGGAAAGUCUCGGCGGUUGGGGAUGGACUCGCGGCUUAUCAGCUUGUUGGUGGGGUAGUGGCUUACCAAGGCUUUGACGGGUAGCCGGCCUGAGAGGGUGACCGGCCACAUUGGGACUGAGAUACGGCCCAGACUCCUACGGGAGGCAGCAGUGGGGAAUAUUGCACAAUGGGCGGAAGCCUGAUGCAGCAACGCCGCGUGCGGGAUGACGGCCUUCGGGUUGUAAACCGCUUUCGCCUGUGACGAAGCGUGAGUGACGGUAAUGGGUAAAGAAGCACCGGCUAACUACGUG
rnacentral:rRNA from 1 species